rnacentral:rRNA from 1 species
AGAGUUUGAUCAUGGCUCAGAUUGAACGCUGGCGGUAUGCUUAACACAUGCAAGUCGAACGCGAACGUUUCUUCGAAACAAGUAGAGUGGCGGACGGGUGAGUAACGCGUAGGAAUCUGCCUAGUAGUGGGGGACAACUUAGGGAAACUUAAGCUAAUACCGCAUACGCCCUACGGGGGAAAGCAGGGGAUCUUCGGACCUUGCGCUAUUAGAUGAGCCUGCGUCGGAUUAGCUAGUUGGUAGGGUAAAGGCCUACCAAGGCAACGAUCCGUAGCUGGUUUGAGAGGACGAUCAGCCACACUGGGACUGAGACACGGCCCAGACUCCUACGGGAGGCAGCAGUGGGGAAUAUUGGACAAUGGGCGAAAGCCUGAUCCAGCCAUGCCGCGUGUGUGAAGAAGGCCUUAGGGUUGUAAAGCACUUUCAGUAGGGAGGAACAGGAUGAGAUUAAUACCUCGUCUACUGACGUUACCUACAGAAGAAGCACCGGCUAACUCCGUGCCAGCAGCCGCGGUAAUACGGAGGGUGCAAGCGUUAAUCGGAAUUACUGGGCGUAAAGCGUUCGUAGGCGGUUAUUUAAGCAAGAUGUGAAAGCCCAGGGCUCAACCUUGGAACUGCAUUUUGAACUGGUUAACUAGAGUGUGGUAGAAGAUAGUGGAAUUUCCGGUGUAGCGGUGAAAUGCGUAGAGAUCGGAAGGAACAUCAGUGGCGAAGGCGGCUAUCUGGACCAAUACUGACGCUGAGGUGCGAAAGCGUGGGGAGCAAACAGGAUUAGAUACCCUGGUAGUCCACGCCGUAAACGAUGUCAACCUAGCCGUUGGGGGGCUUGUCCCCUUAGUGGCGCAGCUAACGCGAUAAGUUGACCGCCUGGGGAGUACGGCCGCAAGGUUAAAACUCAAAUGAAUUGACGGGGGCCCGCACAAGCGGUGGAGCAUGUGGCUUAAUUCGAUGCAACGCGAAGAACCUUACCUACCCUUGACAUACAGAGAACUUUCUAGAGAUAGAUUGGUGCCUUAGGGAACUCUGAUACAGGUGCUGCAUGGCUGUCGUCAGCUCGCGUCGUGAGAUGGUGGGUUAAGUCCCGUAAUGAGCGCAACCCUUAUCCUUAGUUGCUACACCAUUUAGUUGGGCACUCUAAGGAGACUGCCGGUGAUAAACCGGAGGAAGGUGGUGACGACGUCAAGUCAUCAUGGCGCUUAUGUGUAGGGCUACACACGUGCUACAAUGGCCGGUACAGAGGGGUGCAAACGUGCGAGAGUAAGCUAAUCCCUUAAAGCCGGUCCUAGUCCGGAUUGGAGUCUGCAACUCGACUCCAUGAAGCUGGAAUCGCUAGUAAUCGCGGAUCAGAAUGCCGCGGUGAAUUCGUUCCCGGGCCUUGUACACACCGCCCGUCACACCAUGGGAGUGGGUUGCAAAAGAAGUGGGUAGGCUAACCUUCGGGAGGCCGCUCACCACUUUGUGAUUCAUGACUGGGGUGAAGUCGUAACAAGGUAGCCCUAGGGGAACCUGGGGCUGGAUCACCU